GCACCUACCGAUUGAAUGGUCCGGUGAAGCCUCGGGAUUGUGGCGAGUUCCCUUUAUUGGGAGUUUGUCGCGAGAACUUGCCUAAACCUUAUCAUUUAGAGGAAGGUGAAGUCGUAACAAGGUUUCCGUAGGUGAACCUGCAGAAGGAUCAAGACCGGAAGAGGGCCGGGUGGGGAAAGAGUGAAGAUCCCGGUGGCCGCCGUACCAUAAAAAAAAAAACAAUGCAAAAGAAUCAUUUCCGCUACUCAUAUACACAUCAGCUGACAACUUAUCACG
rnacentral:misc_RNA from 1 species